rnacentral:rRNA from 1 species
UACGGGGGGGGCAAGCGUUGUUCGGAAUUACUGGGCGUAAAGGGUUCGUAGGUGGCUUGCUAAGUCAGACGUGAAAUCCCUCAGCUUAACUGGGGAACUGCGUCUGAUACUGGCGAGCUUGAGUGCAGGAGAGGAACGCAGAAUUCCAGGUGUAGCGGUGAAAUGCGUAGAUAUCUGGAGGAAUACCGGUGGCGAAGGCGGCGUUCUGGACUGCAACUGACACUGAAGAACGAAAGCCAGGGGAGCAAACGGG